GGGAGAACUUAGCACAUGAGGAGAGAGCGGGGAAUGGAAUUGGCGUGGACGGGGGAGGCGCAGAUGACCUGCUAGUUGGUUCUGGCUAGAUGAUCUCUGCCCCACUUCUGUGAGGAGGCAUCUGUAGUCACAGAUAGAAGGAGUGGUGGUAUUUUUAAAGUGAACUGUUGCGAUGAUAUCUGCUUAGCUUUCUCAUGCUAAUCUCUUUCUGUGCUGCUGUGCUGUAAGAAGCCCAAGCCCAACCACUGAGUGAUUAACCAGCAUGUGGAGAGAGGCCUUAGACGAUGAGAUGUCAUCACUGAUGUUUUGCUCUCAGCAUCUGAAUGCAGCUGCAUGAGUGACCUCAACUACUACAACACUUAGCAGAAGAAUGGCCCUGCUGAACCUGGUUGGCCCAUAAAUACAUGAAAACUUUUUAAAAAUGCUAUUGUUUUAAGCUAGUAAGUUUUGAGAUGGUUUGUUACACAGUAAUACAUAACUAAAACAAAGAUAGACAAAUAAAUGUAGGAGUUCAAUUCACUGGCUAUAAAAUAGAUAAGUGAGAGAUCAUAGGUGGCUGUCUACUCUUAUAUGGAGGAAUCAGAAAAGGCUUCCAUGGAGAGAUGAUAUUCUACUUGAACUUUGAGAGAUGAAAAUGUUUCUGGACAGAUGAGGGAGAGUCUCUUCGAUGGAAUGAAUAUUCCAGAGGAUGACUUGGAGGCCAGGAAUAAUAUGACAUUCUCAAGUGAACUGAUAACCUAAUAUUGACAACGGUUUUAAUUUGAUGGCUUAGAGAGAAACUGUGUAAAAUCAGUAGGAAUAAUAACAGGAAUACCAUACUUGUCUUUCUUUUGUAUCAUUUUAUCAGGAGAGAAGACCUUGUAAUUGACACAUUUCACCUAUUUACGUUCUACAGUGCCAACAUUUUCUCAAGGACUAAUGAGACAAAAGGAACUGCGUUUGUUGAAAGGCAGCGUCUGAUCCUCAUUUACUAUUCUAACUAAAUGAUUAAUUCAUUCCAGAAACAAAAACAAAGACACAGUCAUAUUAUAAACAUGAAUUCCUCAAGAAACCCGUCUAUGGACCACCUAGGAGGCACUUGGGGACCACCGGUCAGGAUUGGUUUGAGCAAGAUUAUGAAAUGGUUGGAGUUUAUCUUGGUGUUCCCAGGCUCUCAUUUUUGUGUCUUUCAAUCUGCUUCAUGUCUCAGUAGCACUAGGCUCUCCACUUUUCUGUGAAAAUCUGCUUCUCAGAAAAGAUCAGAUGCACGUGUUCUUACUUAGAAGUAUGAUCCCCAGAAGUGGGCUAUUGUUUCCAAGAAGGAUAUCCAUUUUACUUCUGAGAAGACAAGGUUUUAAGCUACAGGAAUGAUUCUGCGAUGGCGUUUUUUUUUUUUGUUUGUUUGUUUGUUUGUUUGUUUGUUUUUAAGUAAUUUAGUGUGAAAGAAUUUGCAGACAGGGAAGGGGAGAAAACAUGUUGCCUUCUCACUUCCCCUCUAAUCACGUCCUGAAUUAAGAGACUGCUUAUCUUUUAGAGUGAAUCCAUUGGACGAGUCAUUAAAGGAAGUUUGCCAUGUUUAAGCCACACAGCCAAGUGUUGUGGGGGAUACAAUAGUUAUAAUAAAACUAAUCCCCACCCUCAAACAUCUCGCUGUCUAGUAGAAGAGAGAAGAAACAACAACUGAUAACAAUAAACUAAGGCAGAAUAAAUCAUAGAUAAAACAUAUACAAAAUACUAUAUGAGAGCCCCUCAAAAGAAAAUGAUUAUUUCUAGAUGAUGAAAGUUGUGAAAGUGGACUAGUGGUCAGAGGUGGGUGGGAAUAGGGAAGGGCAGGAGGAAAUGUGUGGCCAGUACUUUCAACCCUACCUAUGAUGCAUUGGAAAAUGGAGGCCCAUAAAGGUAAGUAACUUCCCAAGGUAAACUAGUUAGUGACUGGCAUGGCAGGAACUUAAGGAGAGUGAAGGAGUAUGGAGGGAUUUAGUGGAAAGUGGUGUAUGGAUCAGAUUUUAAUUCUGUGCUAAGGAAUUUAAUUUAAUAUUCUGGGAAUAAGGGGAGCUUUUGAAGGUCUUUUUUUUGUUUGUUUGUGGGGUGGAGUGUGUUGCUGGGUGAAAUAUGACAUGAUAGAUACAUAAGAUAAUUUACUUGAUAUUGCGAAGGAUGAAUUAGAAAGAAAAGAGUUUGCACGCAGGGAGACAUAUUACAAUGACUCAUCCACCCAUUUAUCUACCUUUCAACAAAAAUUUAGUCAGAAUCUACUGUUUCCCAGGCAUUACAAAAUGUUGUGGCAACAAUCUGGUGAAAGAGUGUGAGAUAAGAAAGUGAGUGAGCUAGAAAGUUCGCAGUAGUGAUUUAAUGUAGGGCUGGGACCGUCCUUUUUAUGUUUGCCCUUUGGUGUUUUUCUCAAAUGUAGGCAUGGUCCUUUCACCACUGUCCAAGUUACCUCUCUGUAAGCCACUGGCUACCUGGCUUUGUAUCAUCUUAUCGGGGAAAAGUGACCUCAUGGCCACUGGCUUGCUGUAAGAAGAAGGGGUGUGGGUGAUGGGGAGACUCUGGCCACCAGUAUUGGAUGGAAGUGGAGCAUCUUCCCUGAAGCCCAGAGAGAGCAGAGCCUUCGACAUGCCCUCUCCAUCUCACUCACUUUUCCCUCCCUGAUAAUACCUUGUGAUUUUCUCUGAAUGUCUUGUUCCCAGGACUUGCUGUCUCUGCAGAUUGAUAGGGACCUACCAUUUGGACUGAGGAUCAAAGAAAUAGUACAGAAUGAAUGUCUAAAUACAAAAAUUAACCUCAAAACAUCUAAAUCACACAGGCAAAUGAUGCCAGCCUUUCUUAGCUUUGGGGAAUGCUCUCUCUUCAUUAGCGCUACCUGAAAAUGCAGUCAAAGAUGGCGUUGAUCAAAAGGGCUAUCUCAGCUGCAGGGGCUACAGGUCACUAAGGAGAGUGAUGGAGGUGAGUAGUGUGUUCCGGGGUGUGAACUGAAGGGGAAAAUGGCAGGGUGAAGCAGCCAUCCAAAGAUCUUCAGGGCUAUUGCCAUAUUACCAGUUUGCAUCUAUUUCUUUCAAAUUUGUUGAUAUUCUUGGUUCUCUUUUACCGUAUGACUUCACUUUUCUACCCUUUCUUUAAAAUGAGUACCAUAUCCAAAG
rnacentral:lncRNA from 10 species